UGGAAUUGGCAGACCCGCUGUCUUUUAAGCAGUGGGUCCGGGGUUCGAAUCCCCGCCGGGUCACCA
rnacentral:tRNA from 1 species